GAUGAACGCUGGCGGCGUGCCUAAUACAUGCAAGUCGAGCGAACGGACGAGAAGCUUGCUUCUCUGAUGUUAGCGGCGGACGGGUGAGUAACACGUGGAUAACCUACCUAUAAGACUGGGAUAACUUCGGGAAACCGGAGCUAAUACCGGAUAAUAUUUUGAACCGCAUGGUUCAAAAGUGAAAGACGGUCUUGCUGUCACUUAUAGAUGGAUCCGCGCUGCAUUAGCUAGUUGGUAAGGUAACGGCUUACCAAGGCAACGAUGCAUAGCCGACCUGAGAGGGUUAUCGGCCACACUGGAACUGAGACACGCUCCAGACUCCUACGGGAGGCAGCAGUAGGGAAUCUUCCGCAAUGGGCGAAAGCCUGACGGAGCAACGCCGCGUGAGUGAUGAAGGUCUUCGGAUCGUAAAACUCUGUUAUUAGGGAAGAACAUAUGUGUAAGUAACUGUGCACAUCUUGACGGUACCUAAUCAGAAAGCCACGGCUAACUACGUG
rnacentral:rRNA from 1 species